CUACGUGCCAGCAGCCGCGGUAAUACGGAAGGUCCAGGCGUUAUCCGGAUUUAUUGGGUUUAAAGGGAGCGUAGGCUGGAUAUUAAGUGUGUUGUGAAAUGUAGACGCUCAACGUCUGACUUGCAGCGCAUACUGGUUUCCUUGAGUACGCACAACGUUGGCGGAAUUCGUCGUGUAGCGGUGAAAUGCUUAGAUAUGACGAAGAACUCCGAUUGCGAAGGCAGCUGACGGGAGCGCAACUGACGCUUAAGCUCGAAGGUGCGGGUAUCGAACAGGAUUAGAUACCCUGGUAGUCCGCACAGUAAACGAUGGAUGCCCGCUGUUGGUACCUGGUAUCAGCGGCUAAGCGAAAGCAUUAAGCAUCCCACCUGGGGAGUACGCCGGCAACGGUGAAACUCAAAGGAAUUGACGGGGGCCCGCACAAGCGGAGGAACAUGUGGUUUAAUUCGAUGAUACGCGAGGAACCUUACCCGGGCUUGAA
rnacentral:rRNA from 1 species